rnacentral:rRNA from 1 species
AUUCCAGCUCCAAUAGCGUAUAUUAAAGUUGUUGCAGUUAAAAAGCUCGUAGUUGAACUUCUGAUAUUUGAUUUAGCUGGCUUCGGUCGCUUUGUUGAAUAUCAUCCGCUUGGGAACUUAGUGCGGUCUUAACUGGUCGGCUGAGGGAUCAAGCAUUUUACUUUGAAAAAAUUAGAGUGUUCAAGGCAGGCUAUCGCCAUGAAUACACAAGCAUGGAAUAAUGGAAUAGGACUCUCAGUCAUUUUAUUGGUUAUUGACUGGUGGUAAUGAUUAAUAGGGACAGUUGGGGGCAUUCGUAUUUAAUUGUCAGAGGUGAAAUUCUUGGAUUUAUUAAAGACGAACUUAUGCGAAAGCAUUUGCCAAGGAUGUUUUCAUCA